UACGUAUGGUCCUAGCGUUGUCCGGAAUAACUGGGCGUAAAGGGUGUGUAGGCGGAUAUCCGUGUCAGGUGUGAAAUCCCCCGGCUUAACUGGGGCAUUGCGCUUGAAACUGGAUAUCUGGAGCAUGUCAGGGGUAAGCGGAAUUCCCGGAGUAGCGGUGAAAUGCGUAGAUAUCGGGAAGAACACCGGUGGCGAAGGCGGCUUACUGGGGCAUGGCUGACGCUGAGGCACGAAAGCGUGGGGAGCGAACGGGAUUAGAAACCCUGUAGUCC
rnacentral:rRNA from 1 species